CGUGUGCUGGAAAUGGUGGGGUGGAGACACGAUCGUGCUUGAUUACUUUCCAGCUCGUCCAGUGGAAGAAAAAUUAAAUAGGACUCAUCGUGACAUCCACAGAAAGGGGAAACAAUAGUAGGGUACCUUGGGAGACAUCAGUGAAAUCGCCCUGGGAGAAAAUAACAGCAGCAAUAUCUAUCCCCAGCCAGAGAAAUUAAGAGCAGACGCUGGCAUCCAUUACAGCUCCUGACGGUAAGCAGUUUAGCUCAGCUUGCUGUAAAUCACUGCCACUGGAGACACACGCUCUGCACUGGCUUUAUAUGUGGUUUUUAUCUCCACAUAUUCUUGAUUUAUCAGCUGUUCCCUCUUGGCAAGAAAUAAUGGUACCACAGCUUCACCUGGUGGAGUGCCUCUGCUCUAAAGAAUUUAUUGAUUUAUUCACCAAGAGCAAGCUAUUUCUUGCAUACAGUCGAAGCCAUCUGAUGUUUGUCCUGCAUCGGAAAGGGUGUGUGUCUCUUUAACAUCUUAUAAAAGCGCUGCAGGGAGGCAUAGACUUGUUCAUUUUCAAUUAGCCAGAGACUCACAUUAACUGAAGAUAUUAAAGAGGAGAGUAAUACUGUUGUACAAGCCAAUAGUCUGUGAAGGCUGGAAUCUGCUGAGCCUGCAUUGUGUACACGCAAUAGACAGACACAAAUACACACCGAGCCACAUAGGAGCGUAUCUGGUUUGAAAUUCAAAGGUACAUUCCCAGAUGUAUGUUCGCUUAGGGACAGCCGUGCAUAAGUGGCUUUACAUUUGCCUUUGGUGGUACCUGUUUGGCUCACUGUGUUGCUCCCUACAGGACAGCAGGCAGCACGCUGAGGAUUCAUAGGGGAACACUGUCAAACACCCUGCCGCAUAUAUAGAAGAGCUUCCAGAAGACUUACACAUAAGAUACUCCAACAUAUGCAUAAAUUCAGCACACAGCUCUGCAGAGCCCUAUGAUCCUACAAUAUUAAUUAAAGGAGAGGAAGCUGGGUUGGUGGAUAGAUUAACAAGAGUGCAGCCAGAAACUGCAGGAGAAGAAGGAAAAUUUGGAAGACUAAUUUAACCACCUUGCUGACACGUGUUUCAUUUGGUCAGCUAUCAACUGGCAUGGUGAGCAUAACUGUCUGGCUUAAACUGCUACAAGCUACCAAGGGGAGCGAAAAAUUUAUAUACACAUUUUACUGCACAUACCUCGCAUGCACAAUAUUUAAUUCACUUGGCUUGAUGCAUAGCUACUGCAUUUUAAAUAUCUCUGUGACUGUUAAUAGAUAUGUGAGUGAACCUAUUUCAGGGUUGAUCCAAAUUAUUGUUGUCCCUCUAUAUCUUCCUGGAAUGGAAUAUCAGCAGAUCCUAUAACUAUUAACUACUGAGACAAUGAUGCCCUUAUACUCCUUGUUAUUCAUAGUCAGGCCAAUAAACAGCAAAUAAGCUGCUGUAAUACUCAAACUGCCCCGUUAAUGUCAACAGAAAAGCUGGGCAUGAGGAUGUAUGUCUUUGUAGCCCCACUAACAAUACGGGCCAGUGGAUUUCUAUGACGACGAGUGUGGUUAAAAUAUUUUUACAACUCAGAAUUGCAUUAGCUGCAUAUGCUGGUUAUCUCUUGACCUUGCUCUGUAGCACCUUGAGGAGGUUUAAAGUGCUAUCUAGUGAAAUAUCUGGACAUCUAGUAAACUGAUUAAACUUACCUAUUGAUCAUUCACCUUGACCACAGUCAAAAUUCUUCAGUUUUCGUUGGAUCCAGCUUAGCAUGCUAAAAUGAUAAAUACUGUCAGUCUAAAAGGGUUAUUCAGUAUAUUUGGCUGAAAAAUGUCCUUUGUUUGCCUCUUCUAUUUCUGUGUGUGUUGCUUCAGUGCUAAUGUGCAGAUGUCAGCGGUGCACCAAGGACAGAGGGGGUUCAAAGAGUCCUGUACUGAAGAGCACCACAAAGAGCUAAUGAGUAAUGCGCAGCACAACACCUUUAUGUUUCUUCUUUAAUGUGACUCUGGCUUAACAGCAGAAUAUUUGCAACGUCACCGUCUUUGCACAAUUAGGAUUUUAGCUUAAACAUCAACUAAUUGUAAGUACGGUUGCAUAGAGCAUACAGCUAAUAUGGCUACCAUCUGUUAGUCUUAGCCUUUUACCAAUUCUGAAUAUGAUAAGGAAAAUCAACAGCUCAAUUACUCUUUCUUUAGGCACUUAUAGGCUAGAUUGACAAAGUAGCUGCGAACAGAUCGGCUCAGUAGAAUCCAGAGCAGCUCCAAGUCCAAUUAAUAAAAGCAAGAGUAGUCUAAAUGAGCUGCGUGUUCAGUGAAUGAAUUAGUAGAAAAGCUAUUCAGUGGUGUAGAAUGUGGACAUCCAGCACGAUCACUCCACUAAUUACUAGAGACAAAGUAUACGAGAGAAAGACCCAGUCAGGGUUUGUCUUUAGCAUCAGGGUGCUGUCUGAAGUAUCUGCAUUGCUUACCUACUGAGCAGGGGAGAAAAACAGGACCCACCGAGGAAGCAUAAUUCACUUCUCAGCAAUAUUAUAGAAAUAUCAUAGAUCACCGCUUGUAUAAGCACUCAGCGUCCCACUGUUUGGUAAAUAUUGAUAAAGUUGCAUCAUUCAGAGGCAAAAGAAUGAAGCUCUUUGUCACACAGUCGAUGGAAUGAUUUUAUAUCCUGCCUUGUAGCAUGAUGGAUGAUGAAAUGAUGAAAUGCUGGCCUAAAAAACAAAAGUGAACAAACAAAACAGCAAACUCGGCUAGAAUACCCAAAGGACAGUCACUGGAGAAGGAAAAAGGAGAUUGAUAUUCUAUCAACACUGUUUGUUUGUUUUGCUGUAAAUCUACUGAGAAUAUGCCUGCACAUAUUAAUAGAAGGAAAGCUCUAUAUGACUGUCAGCAGUAUUGCUCCCCAGAAACUAUAUGUGGAGAUCAAAUAUUUGUACUGAUUUUGUCCAUGCUUUGGUAUUUGUAGCAAUACUAUGUUUGGUGGAGUGCAUAAUUUAUUUCCCUGCUGUUAAACUCUAGAAAUUGAAAUUUGAUCAAUAUCUCAACAAAUAGGCUGUGGCGUUUCCUGUAACAUAAUUUGAAGAACUAUUUUAUUGUUGUAUAGACAGCACUUCAAAUAUAUUUUUUUACGUAUAUGUUCCCUGUUGCUUGUAUGGUUUUUGUCAUGAAUUCACUCAGUGCUGCAGUUAUUAAUUAUAGGCAGCGGGUCAUUAUCUUGCAGCACUAUUACAGUGUAACUUUGACAAAAAAACAAAACAAACCCAAAACAAAAACAGCCUUCAAGCAUAAUAGAUUCGACUCAAGAAAGCUUCAGCUGUUGUUCAUACUGUAUGAAAUAAAUGGAAAACAAAGAACGCCUGGAGCGGUAGAAAAGAGCCCAAUCCAUUUUUAUAAAGUCAUACUAUUGUUUACAAAGCAAUAAGAUGUGUAAUGUUCAAGUAGAUGUUUAAGGUCAAAAACAGGAUCCAAACAAGGAGAACGAAAGACGGCCAGGCAAACAAGAAAUAACGACAAGAAAACUACACUUACUUUCCAGCCCAGCAUUAUGGCAAAGCGUGUAAUAGAUCCGUGGGUUGGACUCUGUGGGCAGCAUUUAUUUUUAAGGGAAUAUUAUUUUGUAUAUACAUAUAUACAUUUUGUCAUCUUUGUUCUUCUUUAAAGAAGUUUGUAGUGCAGUAAAACCAGAUAAGGAAAGCGUGACAGAUCUUGAGUGAUGGAUAAUAGGUAUUUAUUUGUAAAUAACUGGACAUGAAUAACUUGAGAAUAUUAGAUAAUAUUAUAAUACAGUAUAUUUCUAACUAAGUAGGCCUUUCAUUCUCUUUCUGUUGACAAGACUUUCGUUAGCACAUCAACUUAUGUAAGGCAGAUGUGAAAUGUAAAAGUCAGAGAUCAGAUGUAGCAUGACAUUUAUUUCUUAAAUGAUGCCAACAUAAACAAAGGUAGUACAAUUUCAAGCAUAGUUUUAGAGAUACAAGUCAUUUUAUGAAAGUUUGACCUUAUUUGACCUUGAAGAAGAGGUCAAAGGUCAAAAAUAAUGUGAUAUUUAGAAUCACCAUGUAUUAUUCUUUAUAUGCCUAUAUGGUUUACAUACAAGCAAUUGCAAUAAAAAUUUAGUUUUAAGUAGCCAUAUAUAGGACUAAUCAAUGUAUUGGCCUUGAAGGAGAGGUCAGAGGUCAAACGUGACAUGAUAUUUUAAACCUUUAUACUGUACUUUCUA